UACGAAGGUGGCAAGCGUUGUUCGGAUUUACUGGGCGUACAGGGAGCGUAGGCGGUUGGAUAAGCCCUCCGUGAAAUCUCCAGGCUUAACCCUGGAAAGUGCAGAGGGGACUGUUCAGCUAGAGGAUGGGAGAGGAGCGCGGAAUUCCCGGUGUAGCGGUGAAAUGCGUAGAGAUCGGGAGGAAGGCCGGUGGCGAAGGCGGCGCUCUG
rnacentral:rRNA from 1 species